GUGAGCGCUGGCGGUGCGCCUAAAACAUGCAAGUCGAGUGGGUUCAGACCCACGGCGAACGGCUGCGUAACACGUGGGUACCUACCCCGAACUCAGGGAUAACCCUCCGAAAGGAGGACUAAUACCGGAUGCCCUCGCAAGAGGAAAGAUUUAUCGGUUCGGGAGGGGCCUGCGGCCUAUCAGUUAGUUGGUGAGGUAACGGCUCACCAAGACGAUGACGGGUAGCUGGUCUGAGAGGACGACCAGCCAGAAUGGAACUGAGACACGGUCCAUACUCCUACGGGAGGCAGCAGUUAGGAAUCUUCCGCAAUGGGCGAAAGCCUGACGGAGCGACACCGCGUGAAGGAUGAAGCCCUUUUUGGGUGUAAACUUCUGUUCUGAGGGACGAAAUUUUUGACGGUACCUCAGGAGAAAGCACCGGCUAAUUCUGU
rnacentral:rRNA from 1 species